GCGCGAGCCCGGAAGCGGACGGGGGCGGUGGCGUAGGAGCCUCGGGCGGGCCGGGGUUGCUGCGCUGUCCUCCGCUCCUGGCUCCUGGCUCUGCAGCCAUGCAGCCCCCGCCCCCGGGCCCGCUGGGCGACUGCCUGCGGGACUGGGAGGAUCUACAGCAGGACUUCCAGAACAUCCAGGAGACCCAUCGGCUAUACCGCCUGAAGCUGGAGGAGCUGACGAAACUUCAGAACAAUUGCACCAGCUCCAUCACGCGGCAGAAGAAGCGGCUCCAAGAGCUGGCCCUCACCCUGAAGAAAUGCAAACCCUCCCUCCCAGCAGAGGCCGAGGGGGCCGCGCAGGAGCUGGAGAACCAGAUGAAAGAGCGCCAAGGCCUAUUCUUUGACAUGGAGGCCUAUUUGCCCAAGAAGAAUGGAUUGUACCUGAGCCUGGUUCUGGGAAACGUCAACGUCACGCUCCUGAGCAAGCAGGCUAAGUUUGCCUACAAGGACGAGUAUGAGAAGUUCAAGCUCUACCUCACCAUCAUCCUGAUCCUCAUCUCCUUCACCUGCCGUUUCCUGCUCAACUCCAGGGUGACAGACGCUACCUUCAACUUCCUGCUGGUCUGGUACUACUGCACCCUGACCAUCCGGGAAAGCAUCCUCAUCAACAACGGCUCCCGGUGGGCAGGGCGGGCCCUGAGGGAGGGGAGCAUGGAAUGGGGCGCUGGGACCCUCUGGGAAGCAGGAACAGGCCCUGGGGGUGAUGAUCGUUCUCUGCUCCAGGAUCAAAGGCUGGUGGGUGUUCCAUCACUACGUGUCCACCUUCCUGUCGGGAGUCAUGCUGACGUGGCCCGAUGGUCUCAUGUACCAGAAAUUCCGGAACCAAUUCCUGUCCUUUUCCAUGUACCAGAGCUUUGUGCAGUUUCUCCAGUACUACUACCAGAGUGGCUGCCUCUACCGCCUGCGGGCACUGGGUGAGCGGCACACCAUGGACCUCACUGUGGUUCUGGCAGCUUUUUAACGCACUGACGUUGUUCAACCUGGCCCGGGACCCUCAGUGCAAGGAGUGGCAGGUGCUUAUGUGCGGCUUCCCCUUCCUCCUCCUCUUCCUCGGCAAUUUCUUCACUACCCUGAGGGUUGUGCACCAGAAGUUUCACAGUCAGUGGCAUGAAAGCAAGAAGGAUUGAGGCUGGGCCUUCUGCUGCCAGCCCAGAGGGGAUUCUGUGUCCCACGUGUUGGAGGGGAUGGGAGGCACCCCUCGAGUGUAUGUGUGUAUCAGGGGGUCUCUGCUGUUCUCCCUUGGGUUUUAUGGGCUCUGUGGGCCCUGAAGGAAGACCUGGGCCCAGUGCCCUCAAUAAAGAGAGGCCCAGAGGUA